rnacentral:rRNA from 1 species
AUUGAACGCUGGCGGCAUGCUUUACACAUGCAAGUCGAACGGCAGCGCGGGCUUCGGCCUGGCACGAGUGGCGAACGGGUGAGUAAUGCAUCGGAACGUGCCCAGUAGUGGGGGAUAGCCCGGCGAAAGCCGGAUUAAUACCGCAUACGACCUGAGGGUGAAAGCGGGGGACCGAAAGGCCUCGCGCUAUUGGAGCGGCCGAUGUCGGAUUAGCUAGUUGGUGGGGUAAAGGCUUACCAAGGCGACGAUCCGUAGCUGGUCUGAGAGGACGACCAGCCACACUGGGACUGAGACACGGCCAAGACUCCUACGGGAGGCAGCAGUGGGGAAUUUUGGACAAUGGGGGCAACCCUGAUCCAGCCAUGCCGCGUGCGGGAAGAAGGCCUUCGGGUUGUAAACCGCUUUUGUUCGGGAAGAAAUCCUCUGGGCUAAUACCCCGGGGGGAUGACGGUACCGGAAGAAUAAGCACCGGCUAACUACGUG